rnacentral:rRNA from 1 species
UACGUAGGGGGCAAGCGUUGUCCGGAAUUAUUGGGCGUAAAGAGCGCGUAGGCGGUCCGAUAAGUCGGCUGUGAAAGUCUAGGGCUCAACCCUGGAAAGCCGGCCGAUACUGUCGGACUAGAGUCCGGAAGAGGCGAGUGGAAUUCCCGGUGUAGCGGUGAAAUGCGCAGAUAUCGGGAGGAACACCAAUGGCGAAGGCAGCUCGCUGGGACGGUACUGACGCUGAGGAGCGAAAGCGUGGGGAGCGAACAGG